rfam:Arabidopsis lyrata subsp. lyrata unplaced genomic scaffold ARALYscaffold_3, whole genome shotgun sequence.
UCCCAGUGAUGAAUAUUUUAGUAAUCUGGAACAGUGACAAAAUGGAGCUCCCUCUUGGAAAAUUUCCAUGGAGGUUUUAGAGGAACCAUUGUUGUAGAUACUUGGCAACUUCUGAGGGUU